ensembl:lncRNA
CGGAAAUCAGAGACACCGAGUGCUGGGAUAGAAGAGGGACUAGGUGACCUGGAGAGCAGUGGCCAAACAGGGAGGGGACUUACUGGGCUGAGCGGAUCAGAAUUCAAGCAAGGUUAGUGAGAACCUUGUCUUCAGGCUUUUGUCUAAGUGCCCCUCGCCAGAGCCUCAUGUGCUCACAGACGUGGCUUUUGAAAGGAGUUUGGGUCAGGGGGCUGCUGUAGCUAAACGUGUUGUUAGGAGGUGGGGCCAGGUGGGGCCUGGUCGGAAGAGGAGGAUCACUAGACCUUGCCUCUCUAACCCUAUCUAACCUUCCCUCCGAGCUACCCCUUCUCUCUCUGCUUCCCCUCCACGAAGCCCCUCUGCCCUGCUAUUUCUUUGGAGCCAGCAAACCAUGGACCGAAACACCUGCCAUUGGAGAAUCUGGAUCUUGACAUUCACAGUAUUCUGCAGUAUGCAAGACACAAGUUUCACCUUGGAUGGAGACUCAUUUAUCCUUCAUAUAAACUCUAUGGAGUACACCGUGAGAUUUGAUUAUGUAAUUUACCACAGCAAUACAUUUGUGAGUUCUUUAAAGUAGGAAAUUUUUGGUGAAUCCUGAGGACACAUCUUUUAAGAAUCAUAUUUUGGGGUCCUGAGUCACGCGGAAGACCCCAAAUCACCCCACUGCACACAGGCAGGUCUGCCCACACCCUGCCGAGGUCCCCAGUCACGCGGAACACAUGCCAAAUCAGCCCGCUGCAGACAGGCAGGUCUGUGCAUGCCCUACUGAGGUCCUGAGUCACGUGGAAGACACUGAAUCACCCCACUGCAGACAGGGAGCCACCUGAUUCCACAUUACCAAGGCGCAGAGGACACCAGACCACCAGACCAAGGUACUGAGUCCCACUGUUCCCGGCCCAGAGGUAGGGGCUUCUGAGCUGUCGUCCCACUGCUCCUGGUCCAGAGGAAGGGGCUUCCCAGUCACCAUCCCUCCUGCUGCUCCCAGCCCACAGGAAAGGGCUUUUGGGCCACCUUCUGUCCCACUGCUCCUGGCCCAGAGGAAGGGGCUUCCAGGCCACCAUCCCUCCCACUGCUCCAUGCCCAGAGGGAGGGGCUUCUGAGCCACCAUCCCACUGCUCCUGGUCCAGAGGAAGGGGUUUCCUGGCCACCAUCCCUCUGGCUGCUCCCAGCCCACAGGAAAGGGCUUUUGGGUCACCAUCCCUACCGCUCCUCCCAGCCCCUGUCCCACCUCACCCAGCUCAGAGGAGGUAAUCCGUGCAGGCGCUAACAGCCCCCGCCCCAGUCAAAAUGAGAAAACACAUAAAUAAGUCUCAAAACCAGACUUCCAGAUCACCUACAGCAACCCCAAAGGGAAAUGAGAUGGAACACUCUGAUACUCAACCACCUGGACCCACUGAACUGGCAACAAAAGAGGAUCUGGAAAAAAAUGAAAUCAGAAAUAAUUUCUAAGAUAACAGGAGAAAUUGUGCCCUUAGUGCAAGACAUGAUUAAUAAAUCUAGAGAGAAGCUGAGGAACAUGAUGGAAUCCCAACAUAAGAAACAAAUGGAAUCCAUAAAACAGAUGCAAAUAGAUUUCCAGGACAUGAAAAACUCCACUGAAAGUCUACACAGCAGAAUGAGCCAAUGUGAGGACAGAAUUUCAGAUACAGAAGAUAACAUUGCAAUUGGUGACCAGGAAAAGAAAAAUUGCUUCAGAAUUAUAAGGGAACAUGAGAAAUCAAUCCAGCAGCUGCUAGAUGAUGCAAAAAAGAAUAACAUAAGACUGAUUGGGCUCAAUGAAGAAACAGGAGAGAGUGCAGAUGACAUAAAAAAAUCUCUUCACAGAAAUAAUGGCAGAAAACUUCCCAAUCAGGGGAAAAGAGCUUGACAUACAGAUAAGUGAGGCAUAUAGGACUCCACAUAGCCUUGAUCAAAAAAAAUCUACACAUAGGCAUAUAAUUGUUAAGAUUCCAGAAACACAACAGAAGAACAAAGUUCUCCAAGCAGUCAGAGAAAAGAAACAAAUCACAUACAAAGGAAAGCCCAUCAGAAUCACAGCAGACUUCUCAACACAAA